AUGAAUCGUGCGUCGUUGCGCUGCAUUUUACCGGCGGGUUCGGCCAUCUCUCUUGAAGCGCUUUAUGUCACCUGAAAGUCAAAAGUUGAAGAGAGACUAAAAUUCAACUGGUGAAGAAAAACUGGAAAUGAUGAAGACGGACUGAGAAGGCAAAGAAAUAAAACCAGCCUUGCAGAUUAAGGUUGAACCCAUGCUUCAGCAUCAUUUCCACUCCCCUUGAAGAAGAAUUUACCACACUGUUGUGAUAAAAGGGAUGAAUGAGGGUCGCUCUGCAACGACCCUCCUGAGAAGGUGCCACCUCGCCCUGUCCAAGACCGACACCACCUCAGCCAGCACAGCCCUCUCGAUCGAUCCCGGCGAUGGCGAUCUCGCUCAGGCUGAGACCGAAGGGCAGUUCUUGUCAGAGUUCUCGGAAUUGUUUGAGAGUGCGGAUGGAUCCCCAUCUACUCAGGACGCCAGCCAGAAUUCAGCCCAGGAACUGGUUCAGUCCGGACAGCCUGUGGAUGGGAGACAAAACCUGCGGAUGAAGUUCCAAGGUGCUUUCAAGAAGGGCAUUUCCAACCCCAUGGAUCUCCUGGAAUCCACUAUAUAUGAAUCAAAUGUGGUUCCAGGCCCAAAGAAAGCACCUAUGGACUCCCUUUUUGACUAUGGCACCUACAGGAACACGAGCAACCAGAAACGACGCAGGAAGAAGCUGCCCAGAGGUAAAACCGAGACAUCCAACGUGGACGGUCCAAGUGAGGACCCCCCAAAGGUUAUGAAAGUAUUCAACCGCUCCGUCCUCUUUGAAUGCGUGUCACGUGGGGAACCUGAAGCCUUGGAGGGCCUGUUGGAGUACUUGGAAAAAAACGACAAGAGGCUGACGGAUGAGGAGUUCAAAGAGCCAUCCACUGGCAAGACGUGUCUUCCUAAAGCUCUGUUGAACCUCUACAGCGGGCAGAACGACACCAUCCCGCUGCUGUUGGACAUAGCGGAGAAGACUGGAAGCCUGAGAGAGUUUGUCAACACACCUUUCAGGGAUGUCUACUACAGAGGCCAGACGGCGCUCCACAUUGCCAUCGAGCGCCGGUGUAAGCAAUAUGUGGAAUUACUUGUGGAGAAAGGAGCCGAUGUUCACGCGCAGGCCAGAGGACGUUUCUUCCAACCCAGGGACGAGGGGGGCUACUUCUACUUUGGUGAGCUUCCUCUCUCACUGGCCGCGUGCACCAACCAGCCAAACAUUGUGCACUACCUGACCGAGAAUCCCCACAAGAAGGCCGACCUGCGGCGCCAAGAUUCCCGUGGCAACACGGUCCUGCACGCCCUGGUGCACAUUGCGGACAACACCAAGGACAACACCCGCUUCCUCACCAAGAUGUAUGACCUGCUUCUGAUCAAGAGCGCCAAACUGUACCCAGACUGCAGCCUGGAGAGGGUGCUCAAUAAUGAUGGCAUGUCUCCUCUUAUGAUGGCGGCCAAACUGGGCAAGAUUGGGGUUUUUCAACACAUCAUCCGACGUGAGAUCAAAGAUGAGGACGUCCGGCAUCUGUCACGCAAAUUUAAGGACUGGGCUUAUGGACCAGUGUACUCGUCCCUUUAUGAUCUGUCUUCGUUGGACACUUGUGGUGGGGAACCAUCUGUGCUUGAGAUCCUUGUUUACAACAGUCGGAGUGAGAUCCGUCACGAGAUGCUAGCAGUGGAGCCCAUCAACGAACUGCUGAGGGCCAAGUGGCAGAGGUUUGCAGCUGUGACCUUUUACAUCAACGUAGUUUCCUACCUCUUCACCAUGAUCAUCUUCACUCUGGUGGCUUACUACCACCCGACACAGGGAACGCCCCCGUAUCCUUAUACAACAUCCAGUGACUACUUGCGGAUGGCAGGAGAGUUCAUCACAUUAGCAUCGGGAAUCUUCUUCCUCCUAACCAACAUUAAGGACCUCUUCUUGAAGAAGUGCCCUGGGGUGAAGUCGUUAUUUAUUGAUGGAUCCUUUCAACUGCUGUAUUUCAUCUACUCGAUACUGAUCAUAGUCACAGCUGCUCUCUACUUGUCUGGCAUUGAGGCUUAUGUGUCUGUGAUGGUCUUUGCUCUCGUCCUGGGCUGGAUGAACACACUUUACUUUACCAGAGGCCUCAAGCUCACUGGUACCUACAGCAUCAUGAUACAGAAGAUUCUUUUCAAAGACCUGUUCAGGUUUCUACUGGUGUACGUUCUCUUUAUGAUUGGCUAUGCAUCAGCUCUUGUAUCGCUCCUCAGCGUGUGCCCUCCCCCGGGCACGGACUGCGACGGAGACUGCCCGACUUACCCCAAGUGCAGGGACCCUGACACCUUCAGUACCUUCUUACUGGACCUCUUUAAGCUGACCAUUGGGAUGGGAGAAUUGGACAUGAUCCACAGUGCUCAAUACCCUGCAGUUUUCCUCAUUCUCUUAGUGACCUACAUCAUCCUCACCUUUGUGCUGCUGCUCAACAUGUUGAUUGCUUUGAUGGGGGAGACGGUGGGCCAGGUGUCCAAGGAGAGCAAAAAAAUCUGGAAGCUGCAGUGGGCAACAACUAUCUUGGACAUCGAACGCUCAUUCCCAGUUUGUAUUCGCAAGUCGUUUCGAGUUGGAGAGAUGGUUACCGUAGGCAAGAACUGGGAUGGAACACCUGACCGACGAUUGUGCUUUAGAGUGGAUGAGGUGAACUGGUGCCAUUGGAAUCAAAACCUGGCAAUAAUCAAUGAGGACCCGGGCAAGAAUGAGACCUGUCAGGCCAAUGGCCUUCAACAAAGUGUUAGAGCCUUACGGAGGGACCGCUGGUCCACCGUGGUCCCACGGGUGGUGGAGUUAAGUCGGGGGCCACGACCUCGCGAUCUGGUGAUAGAGAUGGAGCCCCUCACGUCCAAGCAUUGAAAGCCACAGUGGGCUAAUUGUGAUUCUAGUUCCAAGACAGCCGAGAUGUGUGUGAAAGGAGAUCACUCUGCUGGCACCCGUUAAAGUGCGCUCAUUUGCACGCCUUUUAUUCAUGGCACCCCCAUUGUAAAUAUUUAUUGAAAGCCAGUGGCAUUGGGAGUAGCCCUCAUAAACUGGGCAAUGGAUGUGCAACAUGUCAAAUAACCGGCUCCUUAUAGAGAAAACCGUGAAAUCAAGAAUGUUAACGAAGCAGUAUAGCUGUAAUAUAUGUCAUAAAACAUCAUGAAAAUAUUCCGUGUAAUUGCAUUUUACUCAGGGACUUGACAGUCACAGUACUGCAUUCCUAUAAUUGAGUCCUACAGAAACACAAUUACUGUAUCACAUCUCUUACAGUGCUGACUUUUUUUUAAAUCUAUAAAUGGACAAUCGCAGCAGUAAGAAACGCAGCAAUAAAUAUUUAUCUAUUUUAGGAUUGUUAGUGUUGCUACUGUUAAAUAUGAUACUAGUUGUAGUGUGUUUUUAUAUGGAAUUGAUUAUAUAUUUUAAAACUAGUCUCAAGCCUGAGUUGCCAGCUUGGGUAGGCAGCUUAUUUUGGAGUUAAACAAUGCACUGUGCUCAUCCCCAAUACAUUAUUGUUGCAAAAGGCAGACAUUGUUCUGGAAAAAUGGGCCUUAUGAGCAAGGUUACUGUUGUCAAGCAAGUAGUAGACAAUAGCAUUACGUGCUGUGCGUUGUCUUUGAAUUUCCGGAGUUAUUAUGUUCCUUGCAGCUGCGAGAUAUUUGCAUAAUCGAGGCAGAGGCCUUGCCUCUAUUUAGUAGAGUAUGUUUUAUGCAUUUGGCUCCUUGCCCUGUACAAGAUCUUGUUUUUGUGCUUCCUAUUUAUCUAUAUGCUGUAUGUAUGUACUGUAUGGCCAUAUUGGAGUUAUUUGAGCAGUCCAAGAGGCAUCAUUGGAGGUCGUUUUCAUUGAUGCUUUACAGGUGCACCAGGGCCUUUGCACCAGCUAAAGGUCUUCAUGGGAUUUACUAAAGGAUCUUUACAAGCAGGGUAAGUCAAUUUCUCUCCACGUUACCGCCUCCAGGCCAUCCCGGUGAGCCUCUCGCUGCCCUUGAAAACAGGUUAGCAGUCGAUAAGUUUUAUAGAUCUAAAUGUCCUCAUUCGCAUGGCGCUCACAUCUGUCCUUUCCUGGGCAGCGUAAUUGGCUUCC